CAGUCGCCGCGGGAAUACGGAGGAUCCAAGCGUUAUCCGGAUUUAUUGGGUUUAAAGGGUGCGUAGGUGGCCUGUUAUGUCAGGGGUGAAAGACGGUAGCUCAACUAUCGCAGUGCCCUUGAUACUGAUGGGCUUGAAUGAACUAGAGGUAGGCGGAAUGUGACAAGUAGCGGUGAAAUGCAUAGAUAUGUCACAGAACACCAAUUGCGAAGGCAGCUUACUAUGGUUUUAUUGACACUGAGGCACGAAAGCGUGGGGAUCAAACAGGAUUAGAUACCCGGGUAGUCCCUGUCUCUUAUAC
rnacentral:rRNA from 1 species